UCUAUGGAUGCUGUGAGAGUGGUGCUAACUGCACGCCGACCGGAUAACGAGGUAUAAUGGAGUCCUUUGGAGCAAAAGAAGGAGACAACUUCCAUUUGGAGCGUAAAGAGCAAAAAUAUCAAUUCACAUGCGAGCUACACUUGGAGCGAGCUAAGGUGCGCGAGAUAGAGGUGAAGAAUGAACUGCCAGUUUCUCAAAACUGACAAAGGAAUUAGGUUGUCGGUUCUCCGAAGCCGAUAAGCCAUAUAUGAGCUUGGUGGCCUAUAUUUCUGCUGGGUGCCUAUAGAAGUCUUGGCUAUUACCUAGCCCUGAAAUUCAGAGAAGCAUUCAUUCUCUUGUAUUAUUUUCUCUUACCUACUCCACCUGAAACUGAGAUGGCGGCAUAAUCUUUCCGAGAAAUCGAGAGAUUCAGAGAAAUCGGUGGUAGUGAAACAAGCUGCUGCUGCAGAUUGAACGAGGAUCUGAUGAGUUCCAAGGCUGAGAAGAUCAAGGAUUGUUUUCUGUUCAGAUGGGGUUUUUGUGAUGAAUUUCUGAAGCUGAGACUCUCAGAUAGGGUUUGAUGCUGAGUUGGAUGGAGAAGCUCGAGAAAUGGAUUUGAUGUGGUUGUGUUACUGAAACUCAGGAAGAAUUGAAGAUUGUGGAUGAGAGUUUCUGAAAUUGUGUUAGAAAUGGAGUUUACUGAUGGUGCUAAGCAAAGACAAGGAGAAAUUGAAAGGGUUUCUGUGAGAAAGAAGAUCUGAGAAAGUCGAGUCUGCUACUGUGGAUGAAGAAUAAUGAAGAAAUUUGGGUUUUAGCAGAAAUUGAAGUUAGGGUUUGUCAAGAUGAUGAUACUGUGUAAAUUAUGGGUUUGAUGAUUGAUGCGAGAAGAAAAGAAGGUGAUGCAGCUGAAGCUGAAUCUGAGAUAGAGUUACUGCUAUUGAUAGGGUUUACAAGAAAGAAACACAGAUUGAGCUAAUGGGUCUGUGGAAUUGGUGGUGGUCUUGAUGGAAUUGCAAACUGGUUGUGGCGUUGCUGCUAUGAAAUGAAAUGGGUUUUGUGCUGAACUGCAGAUAGAAUCAGCUGGAAAUCAAGGAAGGCAGUGAGGUGAGCUUCUGGUGAAAUGGUUGCAGCUACAGAUGGGAAUUGCAGGUGCAUCGGUUGUGUUCAAGCUGAACUGCGGCGCAAGACUCAGGAAAUGGCUUUGGUGAUACUGAAUUGUGGAACUGAAGUUUAAAGGAAUGAAUGUUACAGGUGCCAUGGCUAGGCAGAGAUGAAUUGGUUGUCUGCAUUGGAAGGGAAUUAAUGUGCUUGAAUCAAGUUGUUGCAGUUGAGAUUACAAGCAGUUAAGGUGCAGUUCAAGUGAUACAGAUGAUGCAGGGAUAGAAGAAUGGGCAGUGCUGAAUGAACACAUUGCAGGUGCAUGAAUGGAGGUGCAACUGAAGGCACAUGUGGUACUGGUGUUUGAUGUGUGCAGGUUGCAGUGAUGGUUUGUGGUGAUGUUGUUGGUGUUGCCACAGAUAACAAUGAAUGGCAGGUGAUGGUGGUGAUAUGAGGUUGAUGCUAUGGGUUUGGUUCAUGAUGAAGUUGCAGGUGAACUGAAGUUGUCAUGGGAAAAGAAGCUAAUAGAAGAUAGAGUUGAAGUUGUCUGUAUGAAGUGUUGCUGUUAAGAAGAUGCUAAUGGAAUUGUUGGCAGUGUUGAUGGAAUCUGGUUUGAUUCAGUGGUGGUAGUUUGCUUGAGAACUGAAGCUACAGGGAUUGUAAAUGGAAGUUAGUGUGUAUAUUUUGCCGAGACAGGGAAGAUCACAAACUUGAGUGGUGCUGCCAUUGUAAUACUAAGGUUAACAGGGAGAGAAGGAGUUAUGCAACUGGUAUUGGUGGUUGCAGAUGCUGCAAAGAGUUAGCAGAGAACUGGUGCAACAGUGGGUUGGCCUGUGCAAGAUUGCAAUGGCUCAGGCCUUGGCCACACAACCCAUCCAGCUGAGUAAGAUGCUGACUCGGUCUGACCUUGACCGAGUUGACCCAGUUGACUGGUGACUGGUUUGACUUUGCCGGUCACCUGAGCUCUCUUCGGUCACUUCUCCGGCUAAGUUCCGACCAUUUACCAGUUUUCCGGCGACUACUUUUGGGACAUAUUUCACACGGGUAUUCCUCACAUAUGGGUUCGGUGGACAUCUUUGUAUUGGACUUUGGGCUUUGAAGACCUAGUUUUGGAAAGAGGAAAAGUUACAAAAAGAGAAAGUUUCUACUUCAUUGGAGAACGUAUUUUCCACUUGGAGUAUUGGAGAGCGGCAAUUAGGAUUUGUUUUCUUUUAUUUUUCAUCUUCUUCAUUUUAUUAUUGAUUAUGAUGAACUCAAAAGCUAAGAGUAGCUAAACAACUAUUAUUGGUUAUGGGAUAAAGUUGAUUUCACAACA